UUAUCCUCACUAGCAAAAGUAAAUAAUACCUUUAAGUUUAAAAAAAUUUUUUUUUAUUGACAAAUUAAGUUGACUACAAAAAAUUCUUUCUACAUAUAGUUAGUUAUGUAUUCUUUCAUAAUAAAAUUACUUUUUAUUCUCUGUCUUUAUUUUGUAUUAUUAUCAGCUAGAAUUUCCAAAGAAAAGCUUAGAAGGCUCUACAGACGAAGAGGCAAGACAUUACAACUGUAGCAUACAUUUUUUAUAAGAAUAGUAUAGAAAUGCAAACUUAUUGGAUUUAGUUUUAAUAGUGCGAUGACAAAAUUAUAAAUACUUACUGUAAAUAUAAAUAAAAUUAUAAUGAUAAUUAUUUAAAUAUAAGUUUACAUAAAAUUAAAUUAAAUUUUUAACUUCAAAUUUAUUAAAAAUUAUUUUUGAAAUAUAUUAUAAAUUUACAAUAUAGAAUUCUAAAUUAAAAAUUUCAUUACUAUAUAUGUAUGUGUAAAUAAUUUUGAUAAAUGAUACAAUUUUCAUAAUUAACGAGAUUCAAAUUCAAAAGAUCCUCGCGCCACUUCCAGUAGCAGACGAGAAACGAAAAAUCAUUCACCAAUCAGCGUGCAGCGUUUAAUAUCAAAUAUACGGUUGGUUUUCUUUGUCCUCUAUAAGUUUUUCAUCUUUGUCGCAUAUUCUCUGGUUACUUUCGAUUCUGCAUCAAAUGCUAAAUUCUCCAAAAAUAUUGUAAGAAGUGCUGUCAACUAUGGUAGAUAUAUAUUUUUAGACAAUGAUCCUCUGAAUAAAGGGGGGGGGGUCGCUGAUUAUAAAUAUGAAAUCAGAUUUUUAAAAUUCAAAAUGGCGGAUUUAUAAAAAAGAUUAUAUAAAAAAUAUUUUUUUAAUACACUGUAAUAAAAUUUAUUUAAUUCAAAUAAAUAAUCGGUUACUUGGUUAUUAUCAAAUAAAUAUUUACUUGAAUAAAAUAUUUUUUAUUUGAAUCAAUUGAAUAGUAUUUGUUUUCAGAAAUUAUUGUUUCAAAUACAGUUUAUUUGAUGCAAAUAAAAAUUAUUUGCUUCAUGUAAAUAUUUAUUUAAUAAUAGUCAACUAAUCGAGUAUUUGAAUCAAAUUUUUUUUUCAUCAGUGUAUUGAAAGUUGGAAAUAUUUAUUUCAAUUUAUAGAAUACUUUUCUUCUGUAUAGUUUUUGACAUUUAAUUUUCUCUUAUAAUCGAUUGUUUUUCGAAAGUCAUGAUGAUAUUAAGUUUUGUUGAAUUAUUGUUCAAUUCCUACCAGGGAGUAGUAUAAGGAGACCGAACGCCAUGCGCGGAAAGUGGCCGCACUUUUGGUGAUCGUAAUUCUCAUGGGCACACUUCUGUCGAUAUCAGCGCUCUUAGUGUAGAAAAGUGGCACUAUUUGUCGUCAGCUACUGUGAUUAUUCAGUGCACAUGUUGUUUUCAUUAGACAUUACACUUCACAAAAUAUUUUAUUUUAAGCGUGUUAAAAUUUUAUCACAAUUCAGUCGUAAUUUAUUUACUAAACGAUAAACCGCACACGAUAAACAAACUAAAAAAGCAGAGGUUAUAUCAUGCUUUCUUGUUUACAACGAUAGUGUCAGCCUCUCCGAGUGAGGCGCUGCUAUCGAUAGAAGUGUGCCCAUGGGAAUUACGAUCACCAAAAGUGCGGCCACUUUUGACGCGGAUUCAUAAUGGCCGUUCGGUCUCCUUAUACUACUCCCUGAUUACUACAAUAAAAAUUUAUACCAUUCACUGUUUUUCUGAGGUUAAGUGGAAAGUUUCUCUGAGAUAGUUUUGUUGGUAGUUAAAGACUUCUUUCUUCCAGAAAUUCGAUUUCAAUUUAUUUAAAUUAGUCACUCAUAUUUUUUAAAUAAUAAGAAAUUUAUAUAUUUUUUUAAGCUUUCUAGAACAAAAAUGUACUUAAGGCUGCUUCUGCAAUAACUAAAUUGCAUCGUUUUGAAGAAGAUGCGCGCGCAUCCAUUGCCAACAGUCGACAAAAAAAUUGUAUGCCAUAUUGUGGAAGGAGCCUUACAUUCAAAGAAAGGUAAGGGUACGGCCACAGCUCAGCUAUCUAAGUAGGGUUGUCAUAGUAACGUAUAAGAGUGAGAGAAAUAAAAAAUGUUUUUAUUUCUCUCACUCUUAAACGUUUACCAUGACGAUCCUACUUAGAUAUAGCUGAGAUAUGGAUGUACUCUGAUUUUUCACUAAAUUAACGAUUACAAGACUCUGUUAUGAGAUAGAGACUUAAAAUUUUGCUUGGUCUUGUAUUUUUUAAUUUAAAAAUUAUUUGUAAAAAAUUUAAAUCAAUUUGUUAAUCAUCUAAUCACCUAAAAAAUUGUCCCUGACGUAGAAUCCUCCUAAAGUGAUGAAAUGUAAAUUUUUUUUUUAUAACUAUAAUAAAAUUUGAAUAGUAUCCGCUCUUUUUUAUGUUAACAACAAUAUUUAUUACAUAAUAAUUAUACGAUAUAAUAAUAGUAAUAACCUCUAUAGAUUUACAGUACAUCAUUCGCCCUAAUCUCAAUACAAUAUGUUUUAUGGAAUGAUUAUACAAAGAUUUUGUUGAUACGCAUCAUAACCUCGUCCUCAUAUUCAGCAGGUUGUUGUUUAUCAGGCGUUCCUGCAUUUUUCAUAAUACAUGAUUUCCCUUCAGCAAAAUAAUAAUAAUAAUAAUAAUGCAAUGCGCGCGAAUCUAUAUCUAUCACGCUAUUAGAAAGAUGAAUAUUUUUUUUGUGCAUGAUGAUCGGAUCUUUGGGAAAUAUAUGAAAACCGCUGAUGACAAUGAGAGAUGAAUUUUUUUUACAUCCAAUUGCAUAAAUACUAUCCUUCCGGUUUGACGAUUGGAAGGUUUGUCCCCAUUCGUCAUUUGUCAUAAUUCUCGUCAACUAUCGUACCCUGGUCUAGUGAAAAUUUAGUGACUUUAUAGUUCAAAUUAAAAAUUACUAUUAAGUUAAAAUUACUAGAAAGUUACUAUUUUAUUGUUAAAAUUAAAAGUUACUAUCAAGUUACUAAAUUUUCACUACAGCAGGGUGCGGUAGUUGAAGAGAAUUAUGACAAAUGGCGAGUGGGGACAAACCUUCAAAUUUUGAAAUGUCGUGACACUUGUAUAAUAAUUUUAUUAGUUCAUGGCGUAUUUCUUAAAGGCCAACGCACAAUAAAUUCGUGUAUUUCGAUAGUGCGCUUUGUUCAUGUCGAUGGAAAAAAGUUAUUGUAGAAACAGCUUUACACCCUACGCUACGAACUAAUAAAAUUAUUAUAGAAAUGUUAUGACUCGUCAAAUCAAAAAGACAGUGUAUGCAAUUGAGUGUUAUACAAUAAAAAUUUCGAAUUUUUUUAUAAAUCCUCAUUUUCUCAGCGGUCAUAGUGAUCAAAAUGGCGCAACUAUAUAUAUAUAGGAACAAACAUUUUUUAUUUCACAGCGAUGAACUCAUUAUACAGCGAAACGGGCUACGAUUAAUGGGAAUGAUUUAAUCAUCUUUUUUUUCGGGUGGGGGAAUUUUUUUUAAAUUACUAGAUUCUCUUGUGUGGCAUUAUUUUAAACUUUCGUGUUCUUCUGCCCAAGUUGUGCCAAAUUCUUCCUUUUUCAAUAUCGACCAUUUUUUUUUAUACAUUAAUCUUGACUGCUUUAAAAAGAUAUAUAUAUAUUUUCUGUCUCAGAGAGAAAAAAUUAUUUAUACAGCAAGUAUUUUAGGCGCAUUAUGAUUUUAUGAUUGUGAUCAGCUGUCACCAGAAGGAGGCGCCAUUUUCGGCAGUAGAACGAAAGCAGCGAGCAGUGUAUGUGUGUGUGUUUGUGGACAUUUUUUUCAGAAGCAUAUUAUAAUAACGACGACAUUAUUGUAAAUCUCGAAAAAAAAACCAAAAGAUUUACAAACACCUUCCUUUUUUUAUUUACAAGAUCCGUGCUCUAAAGUGCCAUAACCUCGGGUAUACAAUGACAAGUUAACCCCCAUUAAAUAUAUAUUUAUAAUAUAAUAUGCGUUUAUUAUAUAUAUAUUAGUUUUAAGUAGCAUUUAACGUUAUGGGGUAUCGGUCACUUAUAUAUGUAUACAAUAUGCAGGUCGCUAAUCGAUCAUUGAUAAGUCUCAUGUGGCGAUUAGUAUGAAUUAGGACCGGUUGGGUGGGGGAGGGUACGUAAUUAUAUUAGGUACUAUCGUAUUAUACUUAACAUUAGUCAUUAAUUUAUAUAUGCCAUGAAAACGUACUCGAGGAGUGAAUAUAUCUCUGACGUCAGACAGGCCUUUUGGUAAACGAUGCUGUUUUUUUUUUUUUAGAAAUGAAAGCUACUUUUAUUUACGAAAAAAUAAAAAAAAAAAGAAUUUUAUUACUUUUCCUAGAUUUUUUUUUAAAAAGAUUUAUUCCACUUAUUUGUUAUAAAAAGCACAAUGAGAAGAGGCAUCGAGGUACGUUUUAGGCACGUAAUGUGAACGCGUUGGAGCACCAAUAAUGGACGUUGCGAUAUCUUUCUUUUUUUUUUCGUUACAAACAUGGCAACCAAACUAAUCUGCUUAAAGCAGAAUGAAAUUUCUAAUUGUAAAUUUUAAGCUUUUACAUGAGAGAGAAAAGGAUAGAAAUAUCUUUUGUCCUUUUCUCUCUCAUGUAGAAGCUUAAGAUUUACGAUUAGAGAUUUCAUUCUGCUUAGGCCUAAUAAAGUCGUUUGCUCAUUACAAAGUUGUAAACAAAACAAGUUUCUAAAAAACGACAGAACAAACACACCUGUUUUACGUGCACCUUUUAAUUGCAAUUUCUAACCAAUCAGAAUCAAUGAAACUAAACUAUACUUUUAUAAGCAGGUUGAGAACCUUUUCGUACUCAUAGCGAGAAUCUGGAAAACGCCUACUCCAAAAAGUCAUGGACAGUUAACCGUGAAAAAGUUUUGUUAAAUGCAAUUAUAUAUUAGUAAGUAAAUAUUAAUUAUUAUUCAAAAAUGUUGAAUGAAGAACUAGUGCAACUUUUCCGAAAAUGGGAUAUUAACGCUUCGAAAGUUGAUAUAACGAAUUCAGUUUCGCACACUUAACCUAAAAAUGAAAAUUAAAUAUUUGAUUAUUAGAACAAAAUUUUUAUAUAAAAUGAAAUAUUAAAAAUAAAUUUUUUUUUUAUAAUUACUUUGCCGCAUUUCAUAAAUUUUUUUUUUUUGCAUAAAUAUUUUAAAACAUUAACGAAAUAUUUAGUCAGAUAUCGCAACGCCAGUGCCGAGGAAGACGCGAGCAUACCUUUUUUUCUUAUGAGUGACAUCUGACGGCCGAGAUAACUCUCUUCAAGCACGUUUCGCUAAAUGCAUCAUUUUUUUUUUUCAUUCUCACGCUUUUUAUUUUUGCAUUCGCUCUUCCUCUCUCGUUUCUUUUUUUUACAAACUUAUUACACAAUCAUUCAAAAACUUGGAAUUUCGGGUUUAAUUAUAUAUUAUAUUUGUAUAAUGAAAAUGAAAAAGAAAACCCAAAGCACACUACAAAUCUUCUUUGAUAUUUGCUGUUAAGAGCAAAAAAAAAAAUCUAUAGCUACCGACUAUCUCUAGACUUUUGGUCUUCAUUCCUUUACUCUUUCGGAAUAGAUGUUGUGCCUAUAUAAUGUUUAAUUAUUAUUAUUAUUAUUAAUGAUUUAUUUCAAUCAUCAAUAAUAAUAAAAAAAAUAUAUAUUUCUUAAUGAUUAGAGAGAGAGAGAGGACGGAUCUUGUCUCUCAGCCUCGCUCACUUUUGGUUGAGAGUCACUGAUUGCCUCAACGAAUUUUUUCUUUUGACUAUUUUCAUUGUUCCACACCCUUAAACUUUACCUUUUCCAAUCUCAAUUUUUUUUUUUUGCAAUUCAAAAAAAAUUUUCUUUCACCCAGGAAAAGGUAAAGUUGGUUAUUUUCCGAAAAAAAAAUUUUUUUUCAGAAAAUAAUAACUCUCCACUCAAUGGACGGAGUUAGAAGAACAAAUCCUCCCUCCGAUGGACGAAUGAAGAGCGCACGAUUUUUUUUUUAUUAGAGCAGAGUUGAAGACUUGGAAAAAAAAUACGGAUAAAAAUGUAGCAUAUGUUUCUAGAUUUGUAUAAAUGGAUAUUUUUUUUUGUUUAUUUUUCUACGACACGAUUACGUAAUUUUUUAUUUCUUUCUUUCAAAUUUGCGGCACACACCUAGAAACGAAAUUAUUAUCAUAAUUAUUAUUAAUAAUAUUAUUAUUAUUAUUAUUGAUGCAAUGAUGUGUCUACAAAGCGAGGCUAAAAGUGAGUCUGAUUCGAUGUCACGAUUAUUCCGAAGCGACACAAUUUCUCUAAGUUAUAUUUUUUUUUUUGUCUUUAAGUACAAUGCUGCCGGUAUUAUGACGUUCGAUUUUUUUUUUUAUUAUUAAUUAAUAAAUCUCACGCGAUAAUUUUAAUUGGUCCUGGCGAACGAAAAAAAUGAGAAAUUUGAUUUUCAUUAACUUUAUAACUUCUCAAUUCAUAUAUAUAUAUAUAUUUAUAUGUUCGGCGUAAAAUUUGAUUUUCUUUCAAAAAAAAAAACAAA